rnacentral:lncRNA from 1 species
CGUCGACCUGCAUCUAGUGCAUCUAGUUCACCAUCAGCCUCUCCUCAUCCCCGCGUAGCCGCCAAUCUCCCUUGCCGCCGACGAGAUUCCCCCGGCGAGCUGCUCGCCAGCGCCACGUCAUCGGUAAAAAAAAAAUCGAUCAGUCCUAAUCAUCCUCUAAACCGUUUCAAAUGUGCCAGAUCAGCUCUAAUACCGCCGUGUGGUGUGAUUUAUCUGGUAUUAAAGAUUUUAGGUGUAAAUUAGACGGUUUUGAACUUCAGUGGGUUAUGCGUUCGGCAACGUAUAUUUGAGGGUGAAAUAUGGACUUCUUUCCUAAAGCAAA